AUUUGGUUGAGUCCAAGUAUCCAGCAGAUCCAAGAUGGCGUACUGAGCAGCGAUGUGCUGAAGUUCACUUUUAACUCUAAACAUUGAAGCUCGCUAUCCCUCGUUCCUUUAUUCGGAUUGAUGUCUGUUGAGAAAGAAUACCGGGGUCUUCCAGAUUUGGAUUAGAAGGUUUUCAGCACCGCAGUGUUCUCUAGGUGUCAGUUUCUGGGAUGUCCAGGGCAGGUGGCCUUGGGGGGCUCAGCCCCGAAACACAGACCACCAGAACAGAUAAUUCCACGUCUUAAAGACUACACAAGCCUCUAAAGAUGGACACAUCCACAUGUAGAGACUCCCGCACAGCUGCAUGAAAGAGAGGCCAGACGUCACCUCUGCUGGAAUCACUUUUUAUUGAACCAACGUCUUUUUCUCCCUCUACAGCCCCCCAAUAUUAACAUUCCAUCAAAUGAAUAAUAAUCCAUUCAUGUAUUUAGCACUACAGAUCUACAAGUGGAGAGCAGGUAAUGGAUGAUGACUCAGUGUAAAUGGCUAUUCCUCAGCACAGAUCAGUGCUAGUCUCUACUGCUCAAUCUUCCUCCUCCACUCCCCCCUCCUCUCCCCCUUACUCCACCUCUCUGCUCUCCUUUCCUGUACACCGCUGCUGCUUGUCGUCCAGUCCUGCCCCCCCCCUCCAACACCAUGGUAGGUGCAGGCUUGGGUGUUUGGAAGCUAAUGCGAGGUGUCCGCCAGCUGGAGCUUCACCGCCUUAUCCUGGCACUUAUCAUCUUCUGCUUACUGUCCAUGGCCUUCCUAGCUUACUAUGUCUCCAACAGCCCAAAAAUCAAGGAGGCCCCCCCUUUACCCUUUAGUGACUGUGGUGGAGGAGGAGGGAUUUCACCGGGUGUGAGUACUGGGGACGCCGGAGGGGGGCCAGGUAUCCAGAGGGCCCCGCUUUUUCUUCCACAGCGCCAGGGUCGACUACGACAGGUAAAGGCGGUGGACAUUUCCAGGACAGACGCUGUGGUUCUGGUGUUUGUAGAGAGCAUCUACUCCCAGUUGGGCCAGGAGAUUGUAGCAAUAUUAGAGUCUAGCCGCUUCCACUACCGGACAGAGAUUGCUCCUGGUAAAGGAGACAUGCCCACAUUGACAGAGCAUAACCGUGGACGUUACACACUGAUCAUAUAUGAAAAUGUUUUGAAAUAUGUCAAUCUGGAUGCUUGGAACCGUGACUUGCUGGACAAGUACUGCGCUGAGUAUGGAGUAGGAGUCAUUGGCUUUUUCAAAGCUAAUGAAAACUCUCUUCUCAGUGCACAGCUCAAAGGCUUCCCCCUCUUUCUUCACUCACACCUGGGUCUCAGGGACUACCGCAUAAACCCCAAUGCCCCUCUACUCUUCAUCACCAAGCCCAACCAGGUGGAGCAAGGCCCUUUACCAGGGGACGACUGGACCAUUUUCCAGUCCAACCACUCUACCUAUGAACCAGUGCUUCUGGCCAGCACCAAGUCCUCCGAGGCACUGGCCCAUUUUGGUCCUGGCCCCCUGCGGGCGCUCCACGCCACAGUGGUCCAAGACUUGGGGCUCCACGAUGGCAUUCAAAGAGUUCUCUUUGGAAACAAUCUUAACUACUGGCUUCACAAGCUGGUGUUUGUAGACUCCAUUGCCUACCUGACGGGGAAGAGACUGUGUUUGUCCUUGGACCGCCACAUGCUGGUGGACGUGGAUGAUAUAUUCGUUGGCAAGGAGGGAACCCGCAUGAAGGUGUCAGACGUGGAGGCACUGCUCAACACUCAAAACAAGCUGAGAGCACUGGUCCCUAAUUUCACCUUCAAUUUGGGAUUUUCUGGAAAGUUCUAUCACACAGGUACUGAUGUAGAGGAUCGUGGAGAUGACAUGCUGCUGCAACACAGGAUGGACUUCUGGUGGUUUCCUCACAUGUGGAGCCACAUGCAGCCGCACCUCUUUCACAACGUCAGCGUCCUGGCUGAGCAGAUGAGGCUCAACAAGAUCUUUGCUCAGGAGCAUGGGAUCCCCACAGAUAUGGGCUAUGCAGUGGCUCCGCACCACUCUGGGGUUUACCCAGUUCACAGCCAGCUCUAUGAGGCCUGGAAGUCUGUGUGGAGCAUUAAGGUGACCAGCACUGAGGAGUACCCUCACCUGAGGCCAGCCCGGUACCGCCGCGGGUUCAUCCACAAUGGCAUCCAGGUGCUGCCCAGGCAGACCUGUGGGCUGUUCACCCAUACCAUCUUCUACAACGAAUACCCAGGAGGCUCCAAGGAGCUGGACAAGAGCAUCAGAGGAGGAGAGCUCUUCCUCACCGUCCUCCUCAACCCUAUCAGCAUCUUCAUGACCCACCUGUCCAACUACGGCAAUGACCGGCUGGGUCUCUACACCUUUGAGUCUCUUGUGAAGUUUGUCCAGUGUUGGACCAACCUCCGGCUGCAGACGCUGCCCCCCGUCCACCUGGCCGAGAAAUACUUCCAGAUCUUCCCCGAGGAGAGAGACCCUCUCUGGCAGAACCCUUGUCAUGAUAAGAGACACAAAGAUAUCUGGUCUAAAGAAAAGACUUGUGACCGACUGCCCAAGUUUCUCGUCAUUGGACCACAGAAAACAGGCACUACAGCGCUUCAUUCCUUCCUGAGCCUCCACCCAGCAGUCACCAGCUCCUUUCCCAGCCCCAACACCUUUGAGGAGAUCCAGUUCUUCAGUGGAGCAAACUAUGACAACGGGAUUGACUGGUACAUGGACUUCUUCCCAUUCCCUUCCAAUGUCAGCACAGAUUUCAUGUUUGAAAAGAGUGCCAACUACUUUGCCACAGAGGCGGCUCCUAAGAGAGCUGCUGCACUGCUGCCCAGAGCCAAGAUCCUGGCUGUGCUCAUCAACCCAGCAGACAGGGCCUACUCUUGGUACCAGCACCAGAGGGCCCACCAGGACCCUGCAGCCCUCAACAACACUUUCCAUGCAGUAGUGACGGGCGGCCUCUCGUCCCCCAGAGACCUUCUGGCCCUUCAGAGACGCUGCCUUCACCCCGGAGCCUACGCUCCUCACCUGGAGCGCUGGCUGCAGCACUACCAGCCCACACAGCUGCACAUCGUGGACGGAGCUCUGCUGCGCUCCAACCCUGCACUUGUGAUGGAGGGAAUCCAGAGAUUCCUUGGGGUCACUCCCAUCUUCAACUACACCCAGGCUCUAAUCAGGUACGAUGACAGCAAAGGUUUCUGGUGUCAGCGUGAGGGAGGUCGAGCCAAAUGUCUGGGGAAGAGUAAAGGCAGGAAGUACCCGGAGAUGAGUCCUGAGUCCCGUACCUUCCUGACUGAAUACUACCGCGAGCACAACAUGGAGCUGCUGCGUCUGCUGAAUCGGUUGGGCCACCCGCUGCCGUCCUGGCUUCGCCAAGAACUCCAGAGCACGAGCUGGAGCUGAGGCCAGCUCUCACACACAAACACACACACACACAGACAGACACGCGACAGGAAGACUGGGACUGGUGUCUGGACGAACCCAACACUCGGCUCUGGAUGAAACUGGAUUCCCUGAUCUAGAAUCAGCAGAAGUUCAGUGUGAAGGUUUCUGCUGCUCACCGGAGAGGAGACAGUUCAGAGUGUGGCUCUGCAGAGGACCCCAGAGGAACACAAGACUAACAUGAACUUAACCGACGUGGACCUGUGUGACUCCAGUAACACUGCUUUGAGUACAGUGAAGCGGCGGCUGCUGACAGUGCUCCACAGUGAGAGGGCUGAGAGAACAGCAAUAAGCCUUCACUAGUCAAUCAUCUUCUAAAAACCUACACAGACUGCUAAACACACACUCACCCCCCCACAAACACUCACACUCUUGUCUCCAGACGACAGUAGGGCAGGAUGUCAGUGUGUGGAGACGACCAGAAGCUGCUGUCUAGUUUUCUGUUUGUUUUGUAUAAAUGUCAGAAAGGCCAACACUGUAUCAUCUCUAAUAAACACAGAGAGGUUGGAAAUGA